GGGUUGUGAGGUUAAGCGACUAAGCGUACACGGUGGAUGCCUAGGCAAUCAGAGGCGAUGAAGGACGUGCUAAUCUGCGAUAAGCGUCGGUAAGGUGAUAUGAACCGUUACAACCGACGAUUUCCGAAUGGGGAAACCCAGUGCAAUUCGUUGCACUAUCGUUUGAUGAAUACAUAGUCAAACGAAGCGAACCGGGGGAACUGAAACAUCUCAGUACCCCGAGGAAAAGAAAUCAACCGAGAUUCCCUAGUAGCGGCGAGCGAACGGGGAGCAGCCCAGAGUCUUAAUCAGCAUUAGCAUCAGGAGAACGGUCUGGAAAGUCCGGCAGUAAAGGGUGAUAGCCCCGUAUCCGAAGGUGUUAGUGUUGUGAACUCGACGAGUAGGGCGGGACACGUGUUAUCCUGUCUGAAUAUGGGGGGACCAUCCUCCAAGGCUAAAUACUCCUGAUUGACCGAUAGUGAACCAGUACCGUGAGGGAAAGGCGAAAAGAACCCCGGCGAGGGAGUGAAAUAGAACCUGAAACCGUGUACGUACAAGCAGUGGGAGCCUUGAUUUAUCAGGGUGACUGCGUACCUUUUGUAUAAUGGGUCAGCGACUUAUAUUCUGUAGCAAGGUUAACCGUAUAGGGAGCCGUAGGGAAACCGAGUCUUAACUGGGCGAAUAAGUUGCAGGGUAUAGACCCGAAACCCGGUGAUCUAGCCAUGGGCAGGUUGAAGGUUGGGUAACACUAACUGGAGGACCGAACCGACUAAUGUUGAAAAAUUAGCGGAUGACUUGUGGCUGGGGUGAAAGGCCAAUCAAACCGGGAGAUAGCUGGUUCUCCCCGAAAGCUAUUUAGGUAGCGCCUCGUGAACUCAUCUUCGGGGGUAGAGCACUGUUUCGACUAGGGGGUCAUCCCGACUUACCAACUCGAUGCAAACUACGAAUACCGAAGAAUGUUAUCACGGGAGACACACGGCGGGUGCUAACGUUCGUCGUGAAGAGGGAAACAACCCAGACCGCCAGCUAAGGUCCCAAAGUCAUAGUUAAGUGGGAAACGAAGUGGGAAGGCUCAGACAGCCAGGAUGUUGGCUUAGAAGCAGCCAUCAUUUAAAGAAAGCGUAAUAGCUCACUGGUCGAGUCGGCCUGCGCGGAAGAUGUAACGGGGCUAAACUAUGCACCGAAGCUGCGGCAGCGAUAUGUAAAUAUUGUUGGGUAGGGGAGCGUUCUGUAAGCCUGUGAAGGUGUGCUGUGAGGCAUGCUGGAGGUAUCAGAAGUGCGAAUGCUGACAUAAGUAACGAUAAUGCGGGUGAAAAACCCGCACGCCGGAAGACCAAGGGUUCCUGUCCAACGUUAAUCGGGGCAGGGUGAGUCGACCCUAAGGCGAGGCAGAAAUGCGUAGUCGAUGGGAAACGGGUUAAUAUUCCCGUACUGGUGAUAAUUGCGAUGGGGGGACGGAGAAGGCUAGGCUAUCCGGGCGACGGUUGUCCCGGUUUAAGGAUGUAGGCAGGUGAAUUAGGCAAAUCCGGUUCACUAUAUGCUGAGGUCCGAUGACGAGUCACUACGGUGAUGAAGUAGCUCAUGCCCCGCUUCCAGGAAAAGCCUCUAAGCUCUAGAUUAUCAUUAAUCGUACCCCAAACCGACACAGGUGGUCAGGUAGAGAAUACUCAGGCGCUUGAGAGAACUCGGGUGAAGGAACUAGGCAAAAUGGUGCCGUAACUUCGGGAGAAGGCACGCUGGCAUUAGGUGAAGUGAUUUACUCAUGGAGCUGAAGCCAGUCGCAGAUACCAGCUGGCUGCAACUGUUUAUUAAAAACACAGCACUGUGCAAACACGAAAGUGGACGUAUACGGUGUGACGCCUGCCCGGUGCUGGAAGGUUAAUUGAUGGGGUUAUCCGUAAGGAGAAGCUCUUGAUCGAAGCCCCAGUAAACGGCGGCCGUAACUAUAACGGUCCUAAGGUAGCGAAAUUCCUUGUCGGGUAAGUUCCGACCUGCACGAAUGGCGUAAUGAUGGCCAGGCUGUCUCCACCCGAGACUCAGUGAAAUUGAACUCGCUGUGAAGAUGCAGUGUACCCGCGGCAAGACGGAAAGACCCCGUGAACCUUUACUAUAGCUUGACACUGAACAUUGAGCCUUGAUGUGUAGGAUAGGUGGGAGGCUUUGAAGCGUGGACGCCAGUCUGCGUGGAGCCAACCUUGAAAUACCACCCUUUAAUGUUUGAUGUUCUAACGUUGCCCCAUUAUCUGGGGUGCGGACAGUGUCUGGUGGGUAGUUUGACUGGGGCGGUCUCCUCCCAAAGAGUAACGGAGGAGCACGAAGGUUGGCUAAGCAUGGUCGGACAUCAUGCGGUUAGUGCAAAGGCAUAAGCCAGCUUGACUGCGAGAGUGACGGCUCGAGCAGGUACGAAAGUAGGUCUUAGUGAUCCGGUGGUUCUGAAUGGAAGGGCCAUCGCUCAACGGAUAAAAGGUACUCCGGGGAUAACAGGCUGAUACCGCCCAAGAGUUCAUAUCGACGGCGGUGUUUGGCACCUCGAUGUCGGCUCAUCACAUCCUGGGGCUGAAGUAGGUCCCAAGGGUACGGCUGUUCGCCGUUUAAAGUGGUACGCGAGCUGGGUUUAGAACGUCGUGAGACAGUUCGGUCCCUAUCUGCCGUGGGCGUUGGAAGAUUGAAAGGGGCUGCUCCUAGUACGAGAGGACCGGAGUGGACGCACCACUGGUGUUCGGGUUGUCAUGCCAAUGGCAUUGCCCGGUAGCUAAGUGCGGAAGAGAUAACCGCUGAAAGCAUCUAAGCGGGAAACUUGCCUUGAGAUGAGUCUUCCCUGACCCUUUAAGGGUCCUAAAGGAACGUUUAAGACUAAGACGUUGAUAGGUUGGGUGUGUAAGCGUAGCGAUACGUUGAGCUAACCAAUACUAAUGAACCGUGAGGCUUAACCUGACAACACCGAAGGUGUUUUAG
rnacentral:rRNA from 1 species